rnacentral:rRNA from 1 species
AGCGAACGCUGGCGGCAGGCUUAACACAUGCAAGUCGAGCGGGCCUUUCGGGGUCAGCGGCGGACGGGUGAGUAACGCGUGGGAACGUGCCCUCUGGUUCGGAAUAACUCAGGGAAACUUGAGCUAAUACCGGAUACGCCCUUUUGGGGAAAGGCUUGCUGCCGGAGGAUCGGCCCGCGUCUGAUUAGCUAGUUGGUGAGGUAACGGCUCACCAAGGCGACGAUCAGUAGCUGGUCUGAGAGGAUGAUCAGCCACACUGGGACUGAGACACGGCCCAGACUCCUACGGGAGGCAGCAGUGGGGAAUAUUGGACAAUGGGCGCAAGCCCGAUCCAGCCAUGCCGCGUGAGUGAUGAAGGCCUUAGGGUUGUAAAGCUCUUUUAUCCGGGACGAUAAUGACGGUACCGGAGGAAUAAGCCCCGGCUAACUUCGUG